CUUCUCCAGCCUAAAUAAUUUUGUGAUCCCAUGAAGAUCGAGUGAUAAAUAUUCAGUAUUUUACUUAGUGCUUGGUAACUACGGUGGACUCAGGCCUGGAAUUCUGAAAGAAACUGCAAAACACUCCCAGUAAUCUCCAAUAUCCACCAG